CUUAAUAUGCGCAGAAGUCGGGAACGAUUUAUGCGUGUAAAGUGUCCACUAGAGCGGCUCAACUUGGCUUCACUUUUAGUCUUGGUAGUUGGUAACUUGGUAAUCAGUAACCUACUGGUCGUGUUACAGUGAACAAGUGGAAGCUCCGGUGACACAAAAUGGGGAGAGUAGACGCAUUCCUUAGUUGUUUCAGUCCACACUGGGUGUCUACUGCCUAUUUUACCCAAGGAAUGGCGUUCUUUUUUAAACAAGAACUCCACAUUCUUUCACUAUUGUGGUUUACAAUGUAUUUUGUUGAUAUACUCACGGAUCACAGCCUCUCCUGUAUGCUGACCCACACGGCCAUCAUCCUGCUGGUCCGCCGCGCCCUGGCUGGUGGGAUAUGUACUUCUACUCGACGGUUGGAUGGACAUGUUGUUGUCAUCACUGGCUGUAAUAUUGGCAUUGGGCUUGAAACUGCACGUGACCUGAGCAACAGAGGAGCUAAGAUAAUUAUGGCGUGUAGAAACACGAAGGAAGCAGAGAAGAAGGCCACAGAGAUAAGAGGCCAGACAGGAGGACAGCUGGAGGUUAUGAAGCUGGAUCUUGCAUCGUUAACAUCAGUCCGUGAGUUUGCUGCUGAUCUCAAAACCAAGGAAACUCGGAUCCAUAUGCUAAUCAAUAAUGCAGGCGUUAUGAUGUGUCCACAAAUGAAAACUGAAGAUGGGUUUGAUAUGCAGAUGGGCACCAAUCACUUUGGCCAUUUUCUGCUGACUUGCCUCCUGCUGCCCUUGCUCACACAUUCUGAACCUGCACGCAUCAUCAACAUCUCUUCUUUGGCACAUGCAAUGGGUAUCAUUCCAUUUGAUGACUGGGACUACAAGAAAGGAUAUGACCGUGUUCAAGCAUAUGCUAACAGCAAGCUAGCCAAUGUUCUUUUCACUCGCCAACUUGCACAAAAAGUUAAAGAGACGAACAUCCAGGUGUUUGCUGUCCACCCAGGGGCAGUACAAUCAAAUUUAGGUCGUCACAUUAUAGGGAAUUUGUCAGCCACUGAUUUGUAUGCCAUAAUAGGAAAAAAUACUGUUGAAGGUAUACAAACCACACUUCACUGUGCACUGGAAGCUAACCAAGAGGAACCUUACUACUACAGACUCUACAAGGGCCUGAAGCUGUUGGAUCAUGCUAUGAAAGUUGUUUAAAAUGUAAUCAAGAAAUUAACAAGUGGACAUUAACCCCCAAUCACCGUCCUACGGUAGGAACACCCCGUAGCUAUAUCAGUGACUGUGGUCUCGGCUAUGCUAGCGCAGCAGCUCGAGAUGAUGAGGCGGCAGAGUCGCUGUGGCUUUAUUCACAGAAAGUGGUCGGUCUCAAGAAUGAUCACUAAAACUGCUUCUUCUUGGGACUCUUGAAUGUGCUGCAACAAUGAACAUGUUCUAUCCGACUGAUUUUUUUCAUUAAAAGUCUGUGUGUUGAGGGAGACUGGGAGAAGAAAGUGUUAACUUAAAAGGAGAAAGUAGGUUAUUUCAGAUAUCUUAGGAGUGAAGGUGUUAGUGAUUGAAACAACGAAUGAUCUGUUGAAUCAGAGAGUAGCAGAGAGUUAGAAAGUAUUAAAUAUUUAAAAACUGUAUGGAGAGUGAGAACAACGUCUAAGGAGGCAAAGAGGAAUAAAUGGGGCAUUGUUAAGCAAUCAUUAUAAUAUAUAUAGAUCUAUAGAUUCUUCAUAUGUAUGUUGUGCUAUAGAGCAAUAAGUGUGGUGAAUAUGAUAUAGAGAUUAAGAAGCACAGAUAUUAGGAGGAUAUCUGGAACUCAACGACGUGUCGGAAAGAGAAAUUGUCAGGGUUAAGAGUAGUGAUAAGGCCUUAUUGAGAAAAGAGAAUUGUUGGUAAAACGAGUUUGUGAUUCAGGCGGUUGGAUGGAGUGAAGGACGCACUGGAAACGAAGGAUGGGGUGAAGGACGCACUGGAAAUGAAGGAUCGGGGGUUAAUGGCGCACUGGAAGCAAAGGAUGGGGUGAAGGACGCAUUGGAAGCGAAGGAUGGGGGAAAGGAUUCUCUGAGAGCGAAAGUCUAUGAAUCAGUGAAGCAUACGAAUGAAAGGAGAGCAGAUACUGGGCGAUUUAGUGGGUAGGGAACGUAUUGCAACAAACAGGGAGAUAUUAUGAAUUUUCUAUUCUUGGAUGUAACCACCCUUUGAUCCUUGUUCCGGCAUAUGGUUGCAAUAUACCUGGAUGUCGAAGAUCAAGUUAGUAUGCAUUGUGGUAUGUUCAAAUAGUGAAAUAAUUUACCACUUUUCUAUUGAUUCUUUCCUCUUGAAACGUUCAAAACUAACGCAGUUUUAAUAUAGUAUAAUAACAGUUGUUUGGGAUGCAUUAAACUUGCCUUGGGAUACAUUAAUUGAAUCAUGUGUUUCAUAUUGUUUGUUUUUAUUUGGUCUUCCCGUGAGUAGUCUCUGGCAUAGAUAUCUACAAUUGUUUGAAAUUUGUUGUAUAAGAAAUAAAAACCAUCACUCUAUACUUGUCUCAACAACCAAAACAUAUUAUGUUAGAUGAACAUAGGAGUCACCCGCUUCAUGCAUUAUUGCUGGGGUAAUGGGAUAUCCAUUGUUGAUAUUUAUAUCUGACUGAACUAGUAAGAACAAUUCUUGAAAUGUUUCAUAAACACUGUUAUAGGUACAGAAUUAAUAUGUGGAAUUGGAAUAAUUGAAACAAUGAAAAUAUGGACUAGCCAUCUUUCUUGUAAUAAAAGAAUUGUUUGAGUGUAGGGGAUUUACAUUAUUUUUCAUUUUAUCUCACCAAAAUGUGAUUUUCUUUGUUAUUCAUUGGAUUAUUUCCAUGUCAAUGUAAUAUUUCACUUAUUAAAACUUUACACAGUCA